rnacentral:rRNA from 1 species
UACGAAGGGUGCAAGCGUUAAUCGGAAUUACUGGGCGUAAAGGGUGCGUAGGCGGUUGUUUAAGUCUGUCGUGAAAUCCCCGGGCUCAACCUGGGAAUGGCGAUGGAAACUGGGCAGCUAGAGUGUGUCAGAGGAUGGUGGAAUUCCCGGUGUAGCGGUGUAAUGCGUAGAGAUCGGGAGGAACAUCAGUGGCGAAGGCGGCCAUCUGGGACAACACUGACGCUGAAGCACGAAAGCGUGGGGAGCAAACAGG